GGAUGAGUUGAGGUUAGGGGUGAAAUGCCAAUCGAACCAAGAGCUAGCUGGUUCUCCCCGAAAUGCGUUUAGGCACAGCGUUGGACUUAUCUUACCGGAGGUAGAGCACUGGUUUUGUGCGGGCGACGAAAUGCUGUACCAAACAAUGUCAAACUCCGAAUGCCUGCAAAGUAAGUAUCUGGCAGUGAGGCUAUGAGUGAUAAGAUCCAUGGCCAAGAGGGAAACAGCCCAGAACGCCAGUUAAGGUCCCAAAUAUAUGCUAAGUGGUUAAGGAGGUAGAGUUGCUGAGACAACCAGGAGGUUGGCUUAGAAGCAGCCAUCCCUUGAAAGAGUGCGUAAUAGCUCACUGGUCAAGCGUCUCCGCGCCGAAAAUACACCGGGACUAAAGCAUAUAACCGAAACUGCGUCAUAUAGUUUACUAUAUGGGUAGGGGAGCGUUCUGUAUUAGGAAGAAGUAAGAUCGAAAGGACUUAUGGACGAGACAGAAGUGAGAAUGUCGGCAUAAGUAGCGAAAACAUUGGUGAGAAUCCAAUGCACCGAAAACCUAAGGUUUCCCACGGCAGGCUCGUCCGCGUGGGGUUAGUCGGACCCUAAGCUCAGGCCGAAAGGCGUAGGCGAUGGACAUCAGGUUGAUAUUCCUGAACUAUCGAUUAAUCGAUACCAGAAGCGGAGGGACGCAGGAGGAUAGACACGCAGCCGACUGGAAGAGGCUGUUUAAGCGUGUAGGUAGAGUAAGUAGGAAAAUCCGCUUAUUCGUUAGAAACUGAGGCGCGAUGAGGAGAGUCUACGGACUUGAAGGUGUUGACUCCACACUGCCAAGAAAAACUUCGCUAUCGAGAUUAAUAGGUAUCCGUACCGGAAACCGCCACAGGUAGGUUGGUAGAGAAUACUAAGGUGCGCGAGAUAACUCUCGCUAAGGAACUCGGCAAAAUCACCUCGUAACUUCGGGAGAAGAGGUACCCUGGUAGCGUGAAAGACUACGCGUCUGGAGCGUGAUAGGGUCGCAGUGAAUAGGCCCAUGCGACUGUUUACCAAAAACACAGGUCUCUGCAAAGUCGAUCAAGACGAUGUAUAGGGGCUGACGCCUGCCCGGUGUCGGAAGGUUACGCGGAAGGGUUAGAGGUAACUCGAAGCUCUGAAGCUAAGCCCCGAUGAACGGCGGCCGUAACUAUAACGGUCCUAAGGUAGCGAAAUUCCUUGUCAGGUAAGUUCUGACCCGCACGAAUGGCGUAACGAUUUGGGCGCUGUCUCGGCGAGAGGCUCGGCGAAAUUGGAUUAUCCGUGAAGAUACGGAUUACGUGUACCAGGACAAGAAGACCCUAUUGAGCUUUACUGUAGCUUGAAAUUGAAUUCGGGUUCUUAUUGUGCAGUAUAGGUGGGAGACAUUGAAGCAGGGACGUCAGUUUCUGUGGAGUCAUCGUUGAGAUACCACUCUGUAAUAAUUUGAAUUCUAACCUUGAUCCCUCUAAGAACAGGGCAAGGGACAGUUUCUGGUAGGCAGUUUGACUGGGGCGGUCGCCUCCUAAAAAGUAACGGAGGCGUUCAAAGGUUCCCUCAGGUUGGUCGGAAAUCAACCAUUGAGUGCAAUAGCAAAAGGGAGCUUGACUGCGAGACAAACACGUCGAGCAGGUGCGAAAGCAGGAUAUAGUGAUCCGGUGGUUCUGAAUGGAAGGGCCAUCGCUCAUCGGAUAAAAGUUACCAUAGGGAUAACAGGCUUAUCUCCCCCAAGAGUCCACAUCGACGGGGAGGUUUGGCACCUCGAUGUCGGCUCGUCGCAUCCUGGAGCGGUAGUACGUUCCAAGGGUUGGGCUGUUCGCCCAUUAAAGCGGCACGCGAGCUGGGUUCAGAACGUCGUGAGACAGUUCGGUCUAUAUCCGGUAUACGCGCAAGAGAUUUGAACGGAGUCUUCCUUAGUACGAGAGGACCGGGAAGAGGGGACCUCCAGUGUACGGGUUAUCGCGCCAGCGGUAAACGCCCGGUAGCUGUGUUCCAAGCGGAUAAGUGCUGAAAGCAUAUAAGUACGAAGCCCACCGUAAGAU
rnacentral:rRNA from 1 species